AUUGAACGCUGGCGGCAGGCUUAACACAUGCAAGUCGAGCGGAGUGAUGGUGCUUGCACUAUCACUUAGCGGCGGACGGGUGAGUAAUGCUUAGGAAUCUGCCUAUUAGUGGGGGACAACAUCUCGAAAGGGAUGCUAAUACCGCAUACGUCAUACGGGAGAAAGCAGGGGAUCACUUGUGACCUUGCGCUAAUAGAUGAGCAUAAGUCGGAUUAGCGAGUUGGUGGGGUAAAGGCCUACCAAGGCGACGAUCUGUAGCGGGUCUGAGAGGAUGAUCCGCCACACUGGGACUGGGACACGGCCCAGACUCCUACGGGAGGCAGCAGUGGGGAAUAUUGGACAAUGGGGGGAACCCUGAUCCAGCCAUGCCGCGUGUGUGAAGAAGGCCUUAUGGUUGUAAAGCACUUUAAGCGAGGAGGAGGCUCUUUUGGUUAAUACCCAAGAUGAGUGGACGUUACUCGCAGAAUAAGCACCGGCUAACUCUGUGCCAGCAGCCGCCGUAA
rnacentral:rRNA from 1 species